CAAAUCAUAGCAGACGAAAACCUAAAAAUAGCUGCAGCUGCACUGAUCUGCAUUAUAGCAGCUGUCUCCUUUUGCAGAAGAUAGGCAGCGUCAGGAUGAAUGGAAGCCAGAAAAGCAAUACAAGUCAAGUUGGCAGUCAGCUUUUUGACUGGGACUGGACCUACUUAGUUAAGAUCUCUAGAUCAUCUCACAGGUCCUGGCAGUCUAGUCUUCAGUCAAUACUAUAUAAUAAUGUAAUGCUAAUUUAAUGUGUAAUAGUCAUUUUUGUCAUUUGCUCUGUAGUCCAGCUCUUUUAGUCUACUAAUAUCUGUUGUCUUUUUCCCUUUUGCCACUGUAAACAGACCAAUGCUAAAUUUACCCAACUUUUAUCUGCAAGUUCGAUGAUCAGAGUAAGUCCUUCAAAGAUUGGGAUAAGAAAUGCGAUGAACCAUCGGUUCAUCAUACAGAAUGCUAUACCAAAACACCAGACCUUACAGAGAUGUAAAUUACUGAGAACAAUGAUGAAUGUUGUUUACCUAUAUUAUCUACCUAUACCUGUACAUCUGUACAUCUACACAAUAAUGUGGCAUUCAAGAUUUUGUUGUUUUAUAGGGUUUUGACCAAUCUGAAUCAAGUAUAUAACAGCAAGCCAGGGUGUUAGUCAAUCACAGGUCUGACAAAGAGAGACAAAUUCACACUCACACUAACUACAACUGCCCAUUGAGAGUCUCCACUUAACUUAAUGAUCGUGUUUUUGGUCUGUGGAGGAAGCUGGAGAUCCCAGUGGGGAAUUCAAACAUGCGUGCAGAGACUUAUGCAAUCAAUCAAUCAAUCAAUCAAAUUUUAUUUAUAUAGCGCCAAUUCACAACAGUCGUCAUCUCAAGACGCCUUUCAAAGAACAAGAGCAGGUCUAGACCACACUCAUUGUUUGAUGAUCAUGAACCAACCUAAGAUGGGUUUUGGCCCAUCUCAACUAACAUGAGUAGCAGUGGCAAGGAAAAACUUCCUUUUAACAGGCAGAAACCUUGAUCAGGACCAGCCUCAUGUUAGACAGCCACCAUGCCACUGCUGGGUUGGGGAGGAAUGUAGAGAGAUGGAGGGAGAGAGAGGAGAGAGGGGAGAGGGCAGGGGGAGAGAGAGAACAAGAUAAGGGAAGGAGAGGGAGAAUGAGUAAGGAGAGGGAGGGGGAGGGAGAGAGAGUAGAGAACAAGGGUGAGAGAGAGACAGGGGACAGCAGAAACAACAGCAACAACAACAACAGCUCAUGUAAUGGUGAAACAAAAAGAGUUCAGUUUACAGGGUUAGGAUAUGAGUGAUUAUGGACAAUGUUAAAUUAAUUAAAUGUGAUUACAGUCAGCAGGCCUAAUCAUAGUCAGCUCUAGUUUAUGUUAUUAAUGUCAGUAAUGUCAGUGAGGCUGAUGUUCAUGUCUGCAGUAACAGUCCAGAGGAAUCCAGGAGAAGAAGGAGCUCAGGGCCUGAGGUGGACAAUCAUAGACAGUAGUCAAAUCUAGUUUUAUGUUAUUAAUGUCAGUGAGGCUAAUGUUCAUGUCUGCAGUAACAGUCCAGAGAAAUCCAAGAGAAGGAGCUCAGUGCUUGAGGUGGACAAUCAUAGAUGAUGCGGCUCACAGUCCAAAAGAAUCCAAAAGAAGAAGGAGCUCAGGGCCUGAGGUGGACAAUCAUAGACGAUUCGGCUAGAGUCAGGCAGGUCUGCAGCAGCCAUCAGUCCGGAGCAACCAAGGGGCAGGGGGUGUCUGCAGCAACGGUCCAGAGGAGCCAAAGAGAUGGAGGAGCUCAGGGCCCAGGGUGGACAGUCAGGGAUGAUGCAGCUGGGGUCAGGCAGUUCCGCAGCAGACCGUCUGCAGCAUUUGUCCAGUGGAAGCUAAGAGACUCAGAGACACUCAGAGAGACAGAAAUCUGGUUAGUGACUUAUAUGGGACAUAAAGAUCUAAAGAAGAGAUAUAGACAGACUGUAGCUCAGUGUGCCAGAUAACCCCGGCAGUCUAGACCUAUAGCAGCAUAACUAAGAGCUGGUUCAAAUCAGCCCCAACUAUAAGCUUUAUCAAAGAGGAACAUUUUAAGUCUACUCUUGAAAGUUGAGAGGGUGUCUGCCCCCCGAACCUCGAGCGGUAAAUGAGUCCAGAGGAGAGGUGCCUGGUAGCUGAAAGCUCUCCCUCCAAUACUACUUUUAGAGACAUUUGGUACAACGAGCAGGCCUGUAGACUGUGAGCGUAACGGUCUAGACGGAAAGUACGGUUUAACAAGCUCGUCAAGAUAUGAUGGAGCCUAGCCGUUAAGCGCUUUAUAUGUCACAAGGAGGAUUUUAAACUAAAUUCUAGAUUUAAUAGGGAGCCAGUGAAGAGAGGCUAAGACAGGAGAGAUGUGCGCCCUUCUUCUGGUUCUAGUCAAUACCCGAGCUGCUGCAUUUUGGACCAACUGAAGAGUCCUUAAAGACUUACUGGAGCAGCCUGAUAAGAGAGAAUUACAGUAGUCCAGUCGAGAGGUAACAAAGACAUGGACUAGUUUUUCCGCAUCACUCUGAGACAGGAUGCGUCUAAUUUUUGAGAUAUUGCGCAGGUGGAAAAAAGCUAUCCUCGAGAUUUGUUGAAUGUGGGAGCUGAAGGACAAAUCCUGAUCAAAUAAAACUCCCAGAUUUCGCACAGUGGGACUGGAUGCCAGACUGAAGCCAUCUAGCGUAGCUAAAUUAUUAGAGAAAGCCUCUCUAAGGUGUUUGGGACCGAGGACAAGAACUUCAGUUUUGUCUGAGUUAAGCAUCAGAAAGUUGUUGGUCAUCCAGGAUUUUAUAUCUUUGAGACAAGCUUCUAGUUUGGUAACCUGGUUUGCUUCUUCUGGCUUCAUGGAUAAGUAUAACUGGGUGUCAACUGCAUAGCAGUGGAAAUUAAUCAGACUCCACAUAGAAAGGCCCCUGUUCUCUGCGAGGGGACCUGGAACCUUCUCACUUUGAGAUGACAGCAACAAUCCUGCAUAAAAACAUGCAGGUGUAUUAAGAUUAUUUUGGUUAUUCCUUGAUUUGCUUUGUUCAUUAAAUAAUGCUGGUGUGAUUUAUUUGUAUCUAUGGUAACAGGGAUGAAAUACAAAAAGCAGGUCACUUAAAGUAACUUUUUCUGCCAGAAAAAAGACAAACAAUAUUUGAUAGUGAUUAAACAAGCAUAAAUUGGGCAUCAUAGACAAAAUAUACCUGGAAUUUUGUGCUAAAAAAGGUGAAUGUCCAGUCACCAGAAAAAAAAAAAAAGGGGGGGGGGCAGGCUUUUCGGAUGGAGCAUUACAAAAAUUUGCUAUAUGUGCACCAUAAGAUUACUUUGAUAUUUACAGCAAAAAAGUCCAACUGGCAACAUCUUUAUACAAGUAUUUAAUUAUCAUGUUGAAUCAAAAGCACCAGAAACGUUUUAUCUUAAGUAGUAGAGGUGCAUUUGUAACUAAAAAAAGUAGAUUGGGUCUUGUUUGGACAGUGACAGCUGUCCAGGUCUGCUGUGUCUGCAGUGUAGCAGAAAUGGGUAAAAUAUCAGGAGUUUGUUAUUCUGUGCCAGACAUUUGAUCUUUGAAAAUGGUAAAAAUAGCCCCAGCCAGUCACAACAGUAUAGCAACAGUAAAAAUGUAUGUUUAUGGAUCAUGAAUUGCUUAUCUUGCCUUCAAACCAAGUAUACAAAACUAGGCCAUUUGUGGACUACUUGCAUAUGAAUAGAGAGAUAUUUGAGCAUGACAGAUGUAUCACUGCUCUGUGCUCUGCAAGGGAGCAUCAUUAGCACAUUGACUGACAAAACUGACAGCUGGCAUGGAGAGGAGAGGGAUGGAGGGUGAAAUAGAAGGGGAGGAGACAUAGCAGAAUCUGUGCCAACUAUCACCCUCUGGCUGUUCUCCAUCGUUUUAAUCACAGCAACACUGCUCUAACACAUCAACCCCUUGGAGACCCAGGUACCUUAGCCACACUUGACAUUAACCCAUGUUAAUAUAAGCAAGUCUUUACCUUCUUUCUCACUGUAUAUUUUUUUCUCUUUGAUGUAACUGACAACCAAAACAACCAGGAGACAUGCUAAGCAAUGAAAUUAAUAUUUUCUAUCCCUGUUUGUUUCCUUCCUCUCUUUUCUCUGACUGGAUCUACUUUGUGUCACAUUCCCUGUUAAUUUUAAACAAGACGGCUGAGAUGGCCUUUUUCUAAAAGCAACACAACUGAUGAUUAGACUGAUGGCCGUCAGACCUCAUAUUUGCUUGCCUUUGGCUUCUCGUCAAAACAAGUUGUGCUGAGUCUGCCUUUUCUGUUCUUUUGGCAAUGUCAAAGCCGAUUCUGACAGAAUGCUUGUUUCGAGACCAUUUUUAGGGGCAGUGUGUGUACUUCUCAGUUUGACUACACAUUCUCAGCGUGAGACACAAAGCAGCAAAGGUCAAGAUAUAGUGGGGAUAAAGUUAGAGGCAACGAUGAGGAAUCAAGAGGCUGAGAUGAACACCAACAAGAUAAAAGGCAACAAGAUAAACCUUAAGAUUGUAUUGCACCAACACAAGCAAAAGAAUCUUCCAUAAACCCAGUAUAUAAAGACAAAGAUUAGAGUGAGCAAAUUUCCCAAAUCUCUAAAGCAAUGUGCAGCAUACACGAAGAUCCUUGUUCUGUUCUUAUUCAGAUGGCAUGAUCCCCUUGAAGAGCUCUGCUAUACCCCAUACCUAAUUCUGCAAUC
rnacentral:lncRNA from 1 species